rnacentral:rRNA from 1 species
UACGUAGGGUGCAAGCGUUUGUCCGGAAUUAUUGGGCGUAAAGAGCUCGUAGGCGGUCUGUCACGUCGGCUGUGAAAACCCGGGGCUCAACCCCGGGCCUGCAGUCGAUACGGGCAGACUAGAGUGCGGUAGGGGAGACUGGAAUUCCUGGUGUAGCGGUGAAAUGCGCAGAUAUCAGGAGGAACACCGGUGGCGAAGGCGGGUCUCUGGGCCGUAACUGACGCUGAGGAGCGAAAGCGUGGGGAGCGAACAGG